rnacentral:lncRNA from 1 species
GUUUCCUUUCCGUCCCCUGCGUCUCUAUCUCGCUCUUUGUCCCUCUCUUUCCUCCUGGAGCGGCCUCACAAAAGGCGCCUGGCGAGACUUAACUCGGUUUGUUUUGCGCCAGGCCUGGGAGAGAGCGGGGCGAAGGCCAGGGGUGUGGACCCGAGGGGCUCUGGGACUGACGGGAGCUUCAGCGCCCAAAUUAGCCAGCCAAUAGUCAAAUCCACCGCUUUUCAAUUUUUAAUGAUUCAAACGCGAUUUUCCUCCCCCAGCAUGAGGAAGAGAAGCAUGACACGUUGGUAUCAUAAUGGGCUUGCUGCGUAAAGAUAGCAGCAUAAUACAUCUUGCCGGUGAUUCCAUGAAGGACUCCAGACUUCCGACUAUGGAACGCAAUUUUCUAUUUUAUAUCUUUAGGAGAAAAGGCUUAAAGAAUGAAAGAAGGCAACAGUUGAGUGCCUUCAGUGCAUUACCAAAAGAGGCACCCCUUCUCUUUACUGAGAAGUAAGGAGCACAGAAAGUAGAAAAGUUAAGGAAGGCAAACACAAAUUAUUCAGAGGAGAAAACAAGGAAAUCGUGAAAGAGGAACAGUGUGAACAAGUUUGCUCAGAUGACACAGAUAAGCCAAAAGCAAAGGCCAAAGAAAAAACUUCACAAAUAAUAAGAAGGUGUGAAUGGGCUUCAGAGUGAGAGGCAACAGUAACUUUGCUGCUUGAGGACCCUCUCACCUCUGGAAAGUGUUGAGCUCUGAACGGUGUCAUGUGUCUCAGUAGCUUAGUCCUCCCUCAAAUAUUCAGAGUUUUUAAGGUGGUGGAGAUGGAAUCCAGGGCCUCACACAUGCUGGCCUGAAACAAAGGAUUCCCCUGCCUUACCCUGCAGAGUCCAGUGGGAUUCCUGGCCUGCACCACUGUGCCUGGCUCACAUAUUCAAACUGCUGAUUGCAGGUAUCAUGCUGAUUCUUGAAACCAUUGUAAACCCUGCCCUAACCGUGCCUAAAUGUAUGGACCUGACUUGGAGUUUAGAAAUACCACAAACAGCUAGCUCCAAGUCAUUAUUGCAUUCAUAAAGACCAGCACUAGGAUUCUUACCUCAGUGCACUGGCUCUUAACCACCACGCCCGCCGUGUGUCUGCCUCUUCACUGGUGUUUAGGAGCUCAGAGGUGCAGAUCGAGUCACUCAGCUUUCCUAAGCCUCAGCUUCCAAUUUUUAUCAGUGAGCAUAGUGCCGUGGGAAUUAAAGGACAUAGCUAGCUUCUUAGGUCAUCUGUAAUCAUGCCUAGGUCAGGGAUGCUACGGGACACCAGGUACUGUAAAACAUACCGCCUUGCAAGGCAAAAGGCUUCUCUGAUCUGUAGAUGAGUUGAAACCCACUUAGAGCAGGUCAUUGUAGAUAAGGCUGAAUAAUACUUGACCUGUGAGGACAGCUGAUUGGUAAGUAGCAUACAUUAGUGGGUCUUCUGAUGCCCAUAUGUUCUAAGGUGGUAACACCAGUUUCCCUAUUUUACAAUUUGUCUACUUGUGUAUGCUUUGAAAAGCCCAUGAUACAUUAAUACACCAGUGAUCAGCAAAAGACAAGCACCAGGCCCUUUGCUUCCAAGGAACCCGGAGCCUGGACUGGAACCCAGAGACCUGGGCAGAGUUUGAAUUGACAGCCCGGACUCCUGAUGAGCAGUAAUCCCCCUGCUUCUGUUUCCCCGUGGCCUCCAUGCCGUGCUUUGGAAGGAGGAGAAGUCAAGCCAGAGAGACGCGACAGUGGAGAGCAAACCCUGGUGCAUUCAUGUCUCUGCCUGGCCCCUCUUCCUGUCAUUUACUUGUCUCUCAAGGCGUUUUUGUCUGUCUCCCUGCUAGAAUCUAAGUUCCAGGAGGCCAGGGAUGUUUGAUUGUCCUGUGCCUCGCUGUGUUCCCAAACCCCGGGCAGUGACUGGCACACACCUAUCGCUCAACAAAUGCUCAAAGGGGAAAAAAUGUGGGGAUAAUUGAUUUAGAAAAACGUGGGUAAUAAAGAAAAUGUUGUUGGAGAACAAGCCAUUUCAAGUCUUGAUUUACACAGGUAAAUUUAACUGGAAAAAGUUACUAAAAUAUUUCAUAGGGUUUUUCCCCAAAUUAUUAUUUUUUAUUGAUAUAUAUAGUCCAUCUACCAUUAAAAUUAACCCAUUUAAAGCAUAUGUUCCUAUGGUUUUUGGUAUUAUAGAAAGAUUUUCACUAUCUUUUUCAAAGUAUCAACUAUUACAUAUAUAAACUCAGUAUCUGAUGAGACAUGAGAACUGGC